UACGUAGGGGGCAAGCGUUGUCCGGAUUUACUGGGCGUAAAGAGCGUGUAGGCGGUCAAUCAGGUCCGUUGUGAAAACUGGAGGCUUAACCUCCAGACGUCGACGGAAACCGCGUGGCUAGAGUCCGGAAGAGGAGAGUGGAAUUCCUGGUGUAGCGGUGAAAUGCGCAGAUAUCAGGAAGAACACCAAUGGCGAAGGCAGCUCUCUGGGACGGUACUGACGCUGAGACGCGAAAGCGUGGGGAGCGAACAGG
rnacentral:rRNA from 1 species